rnacentral:rRNA from 1 species
AUUGAACGCUGGCGGUAUGCUUAAGACAUGCAAGUCGAACGGUAACAGGUUAAGCUGACGAGUGGCGGACGGGUGAGUAACACGUGGGAAUCUACCCAGUAGCGGGGGAUAAGCCAGGGAAACUUGGACUAAUACCGCAUACGCCCUAAGGGGGAAAGCCGCAAGGCACUAUUGGAUGAGCCCGCGUCUGAUUAGCUAGUUGGUGAGGUAAGAGCUCACCAAGGCGACGAUCAGUAGCUGGUCUGAGAGGAUGACCAGCCACAUUGGGACUGAGACACGGCCCAGACUCCUACGGGAGGCAGCAGUCGGGAAUAUUGGACAAUGGGGGCAACCCUGAUCCAGCAAUACCGCGUGUGUGAAGAAGGCCUGCGGGUUGUAAAGCACUUUUAGUGGGGAAGACAAUGACGUUACCCACAGAAGCAGCACCGGCUAACUCCGUGCCAGCAGCAGCCGCGGUAA